AUCCUUUUGUAGUUCAUAUGCCUGAUGAUUGGGGUUUCAUGUCCAUGUUUGAGAUGUGCCUCCCACAAAUCUUGUAAUGGCACAUUGCCCGUCUGAUA
ensembl:snoRNA